rnacentral:rRNA from 1 species
UAAGCCCAGAUUAGGUAGUAACAACCAUUUGAGUCUGGGAUUUCUGAAUGGGGAAACCCACUUACAUAAGUAAGUAUCAUUAACUGAAUACAUAGGUUAAUGAGGCGAACCGGGGGAACUGAAACAUCUAAGUACCCCGAGGAAAAGAAAUCAACCGAGAUUCCGAAAGUAGCGGCGAGCGAAAUUGGACUAGCCCUUAAGCUUUACACGCGUUAGACGAACGGUCUGGAAAGUCCGACGAUACAGGGUGAUAGUCCCGUAGUUGACGACGUGUGUUCAGUGAAAUCGAGUAGGGCGGGACACGUGAUAUCCUGUCUGAAUAUGGGGGGACCAUCCUCCAAGGCUAAAUACUACUGACUGACCGAUAGUGAACCAGUACCGUGAGGGAAAGGCGAAAAGAACCCCUGUGAGGGGAGUGAAAUAGAACCUGAAACCGUGUACGUACAAGCAGUAGGAGCAGGCUU